UACGUAGGGGGCAAGCGUUGUCCGGAAUCAUUGGGCGUAAAGAGCGUGUAGGCGGCUUGGUAAGUCCGCUGUGAAAGUCCAGGGCUCAACCCUGGAAAGCCGGUGGAAACUGUCAAGCUUGAGUCCGGAAGAGGCGAGUGGAAUUCCUGGUGUAGCGGUGAAAUGCGCAGAUAUCAGGAGGAACACCGGUGGCGAAGGCGGGUCUCUGGGCCGAUACUGACGCUGAGGAGCGAAAGCGUGGGGAGCGAACAGG
rnacentral:rRNA from 1 species